rnacentral:rRNA from 1 species
UACUAGAGUAGCACUCGCAUAUCAAUAAGCGGAGGAAAAGAAACUAACAAGGAUUCCCCUAGUAACGGCGAGUGAAGCGGGAAGAGCUCAAAUUUGAAAUCUUAAAGGGUUUCCCUUUACGAAUUGUAGUUUAAAGAAGUGUUUUCUGUUGAGGUUUUGGUAAAAGUUCUUUGGAAUAGGACAUCAUAGAGGGUGAGAAUCCCGUAUUUGACCUUUACUUUCAACUUUGUGAUACACUUUCAAAGAGUCGGAUUGUUUGGGAGUGCAGUCCAAAAUGGGUGGUAAAUUUCAUCUAAAGCUAAAUAUUGGCGAGAGACCGAUAGCGAACAAGUACCGUGAGGGAAAGAUGAAAAGAACUUUGAAAAGAGAGUUAAACAGUACGUGAAAUUGUCAAAAGGGAAGCGUUUGACACCAGUGUUGUUUUUCUGAAAAUCAAUUAAAGAACUGUUUAUGCUAAGUUGUUUAGACUUUAUCAGCUAACUGUUUAGUUUUGAGCUUUUCUUUAAUGCACUUUUCAGUUAACAAGUCAACAUCAAUUUCUUUUGCUGUAAAAAAGCUUGAGGAAGGUGGCUUGAGAUUCGUCUUAAGUGUUUAUAGCCUCUUGCCUAUGCAGUCGGAGAGAUUGAGGUCUGCAGCGUAGAUCCUUCGGGGCUAAAUGCAUUUGUGCUAAGUUAUAGCAUUUUAUAGACAACUUGUUGACUAUGAUUUGUCUUGUAGCUUACUCGCUUAUGUUAUUUUACCUACGCUUAGGAUGUUGAUCUACAGAGCGAGAGU